rfam:Brachypodium distachyon strain Bd21 chromosome 3, whole genome shotgun sequence.
CUGCUGCUCCCUCCGUCCAAUAUUAAGUGCCGAAAUAUUACAUGUAUCUAGACGUAUUUUAGUAUAUAGAUACGUCCAUAUUUAGACAAAUUUGAGUCACUUAAUAUGGAACGGAGGGAGUACUAU